GCCGGAGUAGCUCAGUUGGUAGAGCAACGCAUUUGUAAUGCGUGGGUCGUGGGUUCGAGUCCCUCCUCCGGCU
rnacentral:tRNA from 1 species